rnacentral:tRNA from 1 species
ACCUUCGUGGUGUAGUGGUCAGCCCGCUCGAUUCGUAUUCGAAGGGUCCUUGGUUCGAGUCCCGGCGAAGACA